AUGUGAAAAGCUUCACCAUUUUCGCUUCCACAAGCUCAGCCUCAUUGCUGUCGUCCUUCUUCCGGCUGUUCGUUGUUCGGGGCGGCAAUUUUGCGAUGCUGGUGACAUCGUAAGCUGUUUAUUGUCAGUUUGUUUUAGCGCCACUUUGCUUUUCCCCGCUUUUCCUCGCUUUUCCUCGGAUCUUUCUUGGCAGAGGGUAAUUUACGAGCUGCUUUGAUCAAUGCAAGCCGCAUCAUCAAGAGCAUACACUACAUUUGUGUGAGGAUAGUAGGUCGUGGCAGGGGUUUUUCUUAGUCUAGGAUGGAAAGAGGUUUGAUCAGAAACUUGCCAAGACAUUAUUAUGGUUGCACUGGAACACAAAGUCGGCCAUAGUGAAUAGUUGUCUGUUUGGAAAGUCUUUUCUUACUUAAAUGUACAGCUGUGAGGCCAUUAGCUAAAGAAUUAUUUCAUGGACGGCAACUUCUGGAAAAUACAUUGUUUAUUGCAGUGGAUUUCUGAGCUUCGUUGUCUAUGACAGGCAGCCUUUGAAAAUCUGCGGGCCAGGCGCUUAUUUGCAAUCGUUGAUGCUUUUGUAAUCAUCGAGAAAUGCUAGGUAUCAGUUUGUUACGGUUCUUAGAAUUACAUGAGGAGGUCACCAAAAUGAAGAAGAUUUAAAUGUCAGCGAUAGAAGGCGCUGAUAUGUCGCUGAUUAGCGAACGUUGAGCUAUGACCAGUGCCUUUGUCUUAUGCUCGUCGACCACCGCAGAGGGUAAUGACCAGACUUAUGUUUGCACAGAGGACUUAGACAGUGAAGGUAUGACCUCAACCAGUUCAAAUUGCUGAACGACACUCUCAUCCACAGCACCAAAGUUUCGGACAGUAAACUCAGGGACCUCUUGUAAUUCUUCAUACACCAUCUCUGGGAAUUGCCACAGCUGGCUGUCGGGACCAGGAACCACUGGAGGUCGAGAUUAUGCAACUGAUGGGGGUACUGCUCGAGAAAGAAGUUGAGCUCCGAAAUUGGGAACUGUAUACGGCGAAUGUUGCGACCUAGAACAGCGAAAGACAGUGAAGCUUUGGAAGAGAAAUUAAACUGGGAUGUACACGCAACAGGAGCCCCCGCAGACUGUGCGUCAACAUCGCAGGUGAAGGAGCUACGCGAGCUUGAACAUCCUUUUAUGGAGGCUGAACUCGUACAUCAAUACGAUCUUGAUAAUAACCAAUAUUUGUGUUACAGAUUGUAUUUGCCUCUUUAUUUACACCAGAUGUAGUCUCUACUCAACAUUUGAUACCAAUAAGAGUGAAUAUUGUUACUUA